rnacentral:antisense_RNA from 1 species
UUCAAUGGUGGUUCAGGCGGUGGAGACUCACGUCUCACCGGUCGAGUGUUUCCGGUAUCGCAAACUCCGCUUGAACUACCACCAAU